AAAUUGAAGAGUUUGAUCAUGGCUCAGAUUGAACGCUGGCGGCAGGCCUAACACAUGCAAGUCGAGCGGUAGCACAGAGAGCUUGCUCUCGGGUGACGAGCGGCGGACGGGUGAGUAAUGUCUGGGAAACUGCCUGAUGGAGGGGGAUAACUACUGGAAACGGUAGCUAAUACCGCAUAACGUCGCAAGACCAAAGUGGGGGACCUUCGGGCCUCAUGCCAUCAGAUGUGCCCAGAUGGGAUUAGCUAGUAGGUGGGGUAAUGGCUCACCUAGGCGACGAUCCCUAGCUGGUCUGAGAGGAUGACCAGCCACACUGGAACU
rnacentral:rRNA from 1 species